rnacentral:misc_RNA from 1 species
AUAGAUGAGUGAAUGAGUUUGGGUAAAGAAUUUCAACAGAAAAUCCUGCUAAAAACAUGCCAAAAAAGAAAGCAAUAUUUCUUCAGAUCUUUCUCUACAAAAAACUGUCCUCAACAGAUAAUAAAAUACUUGAAUCUCUUUGUAUCUGAAACUAACAAUAAAUGCAGUAUUAUAAUCUCUACAUGUUCUUUCAAUAACCCCGGCACUCUUCCAAGCUGCAAAUGGGGGAUUUGGAGGAGCCUCAA